rnacentral:rRNA from 1 species
UAACACGUGGGGAACCUGCCCCAUAGUCUGGGAUACCACUUGGAAACAGGUGCUAAUACCGGAUAAGAAAGCAGAUCGCAUGAUCAGCUUUUAAAAGGCGGCGUAAGCUGUCGCUAUGGGAUGGCCCCGCGGUGCAUUAGUUAGUUGGUAAGGUAAAGGCUUACCAAGGCGAUGAUGCAUAGCCGAGUUGAGAGACUGAUCGGCCACAUUGGGACUGAGACACGGCCCAAACUCCUACGGGAGGCAGCAGAC